AGGUAUGGAGCAGUACAUAGGGUAAAUUGAAUAAAUUAGCUACACUAUAUACAAUUUUUUGAUUUAAGACAAUACACACCAAUUCAUAUUGGGUUCAAAAUUUUCUCUGUCUUUACAUGGUAUCAAGAGCAAGUUGACCAACCUGAUAUUUGAAACCCAAAUUCAUUUUUCAACUUUGCUCUAUUCCUUACAAUGGGAGAAACAACAGAAGUUGUAAUUGCAGCAACAACUGAUUCAACCAAUAAAGGUGUGAUUGAUUCAACACACCAUUUCUUUCUCCAUCCUUCAGACUACCCAGGCAUGAACCUUGUUUUCUCAGCUUUUGAUGGCAAAAGCUAUGGAGCUUGGCGUAGAGCAGUAGUCAUAGCUCUUUCUAUCAAGAAUAAACUAGGUUUCAUAGAUGGAACUCUUUUCAUUCCAGAUGAAAACUCUGGUCUUCAAAGUGCAUGGGCUAGAGGAAAUGAGAUGGUGUUGUCUUGGCUCCUUAACUCUCUGUAAAAAGAAAUUGCAGGAAGUGUUCUUUACUCACACAAUGCAAAAGAUCUGUGGAAUGAUUUAGAAGACAGAUUUGGUCAGACAAAUGUGGCUAAACUUUUUCAACUGCAGAAAGAACUAAGUGCUGUGGUUCAAGGUAACUCUAGUGUUUCAAGUUAUUUCACAAAAAUGAAAAAUUUGUGGGAUGAACUAGAUACCUUGAUCAAUUUUUCUACUUGUUCAUGUGAAUGUGUAUGUGGAGCUAAAAGAAAAAGUCUGAAAACGCACCAAGACCAGAGACUGCUGCAAUUUUUAAUGGCCCUGAAUGACACCUACAUAGGUGUGAGAAGCAACAUACUAUUGACUUGUCCUUUACCUUCUCUUGGCCAAGCUUACUCUAUGGUUAUCCAGGAUGAAAAGCAAAGAGAAAUACAUGUUUUUCCUGUUUAUCCGGGAGAAUCAGCCUCAUUUAUUGCUGCACAACAUGGGACUGUUGGUAAGAGAAACAAUGUGAGAGAUUUUAAAGGGAAAAAACUUGGGUAUGAGGGAAAGAAAAAUAACUCUACUUGUUCAUAUUGCAAGAAGCUAGGUCAUGUUAUGGAACAAUGCUACAUGCUUGUUGGAUUUUCCUCAGAUUUUAUGUUCACAAAUCAAAGAAAAUGCCAGAGGUUAGUUCAAGGUAACAAUACUUUCAGCACUGAAGAAAAUGCAGUACAGACUACGGGGAUCAAGUCACUUACUCAAGAAAAUAUCAGCCAGAUCUUACAACUCCUUCAGCAAGUGCAGAUGGGAAAACACGGAACCAACAGCUCUGAAAACAAUGCAG
rnacentral:lncRNA from 1 species